UACGUAGGGUCCGAGCGUUGUCCGGAGUCACUGGGCUUAAAGGGCGCGUAGGCGGGCCCUCAAGUCCGGGGUGAAAUCCUCCCGCUUAACGGGAGAAGAGCCUCGGAGACUGAGGGCCUCGAGGGAGGUAGGGGCGUGCGGAACUAUGGGUGGAGCGGUGAAAUGCAUUGAUAUCCAUAGGAACUCCGGUGGCGAAGGCGGCACGCUGGACCUCUUCUGACGCUGAGGCGCGAAAGCCAGGGGAGCAAACGGG
rnacentral:rRNA from 1 species